rnacentral:rRNA from 1 species
CUGGGCGGCGUGCCUAAUACAUGCAAGUCGAGCGGACAGAAGGGAGCUUGCUCCCGGACGUUAGCCCGUUAGAAGGGUGAGUAACACGUAGGUAACCUGCCCCUUAGACUGGGAUAACUCCGGGAAACCGGAGCUAAUACGGGAUAAUAAAGAGAAUCACCUGAUUCUCUUUUGAAAGACGGCUUCUGCUGGUACUUUAUGGUGGGGCUGGCGCCGCUUAACUAGGUG